rnacentral:lncRNA from 1 species
AUCAACACAGUUUCAAAGUCUGUAAUGGUAUUUGAAAUACAGUCAGAAUGAGGAGAAAUCAGCAAUAGUAAGCGUAACAGUAGCAGUAAGUUAGAACCAAAUCAGCACCAAAAUCAAUCUAAACCCAGAAACACACUCAAACACAGCCCGGAACGAGUUGUAAAACCAACAGUAAUAGCAAACACCCAAAAUACACUCAAUUGAACUCGAGUACACCAAAAAGUAGAAUCAGUAAACUACAGAACAGGUGCAGCAACAAGAAGAAGUGAGAAUCAAUGCCUAAGACUAAAAUUUCACCUAGAAAUGCAAUUUAACAGUAUUUUUUUUUGGUUUUCUGAAUAUUUUUGCCUUUGUUUUUGGUUUUCUUUUUGAAGGAAUUAAAAUCUAAGGGAGUGUCUGAUCUAAAAUUUGAAUUUCAAAGCUGGAAGCUUGAAGAGUAUUUUUUGGGGGGGAAUUUUUGGAGCU